rnacentral:rRNA from 1 species
UACGUAGGGUGCGAGCGUUGUCCGGAAUUAUUGGGCGUAAAGAGCUCGUAGGCGGUCCGUCGCGUCGAAUGUGAAAACCCGGGGCUCAACUCCGGGCUUGCAUUCGAUACGGGCGGACUAGAGUUCGGUAGGGGAGACUGGAAUUCCUGGUGUAGCGGUGAAAUGCGUAGAUAUCAGGAGGAACACCGGUGGCGAAGGCGGCUUUCUGGACAGAUACCGACGCUGAGGCACGAAAGCUAGGGGAGCAAACAGG